rnacentral:rRNA from 1 species
GGCCAAGUUAGUAAGGGCGCACGGUGGAUGCCUUGGCACCAGGAGCCGAUGAAGGACGUGGGAGGCUGCGAUAUGCCUCGGGGAGCUGUCAACCGAGCUGUGAUCCGAGGAUUUCCGAAUGGGGAAACCCGG